rnacentral:rRNA from 1 species
AGAGUUUGAUCCUGGCUCAGGACGAACGCUGGCGGCGUGCCUAAUACAUGCAAGUCGAGCGCAGGAAGCAAGUUGAUCCCCUUCGGGGGUGACGCUUGUGGAAUAAGCGGCGGACGGGUGAGUAACACGUGGGCAACCUGCCUGUAAGACUGGGAUAACCCCGGGAAACCGGGGCUAAUACCGGAUAAUACUUUCUUUUGCAUAAAGGAAAGUUGAAAGGCGGCUUCGGCUGUCACUUACAGAUGGACCCGCGGCGCAUUAGCUAGUUGGUGAGGUAACGGCUCACCAAGGCGACGAUGCGUAGCCGACCUGAGAGGGUGAUCGGCCACACUGGGACUGAGACACGGCCCAGACUCCUACGGGAGGCAGCUGUAGGGAAUCUUCCGCAAUGGACGAAAGUCUGACGGAGCAACGCCGCGUGAUUGAAAAAGGUUUUCGGAUCGGAUAACUCUGAUGUUAGGGAAAAACAAGUGCCGUUCGACUAGGGCGGCGCCUUGACGGUUCCUAACCCCAACGCCACGGCCAACUACCUGCCAGCUACCGAGGUGAUAAGUAUGUGGCUUACUUAUUCCGCAAUUAUUGCGCGCAA